rnacentral:rRNA from 1 species
ACGGCUCAGUAACACGUGGAUAACAUGCCCUAAGGUGGGGGAUAAUCUCGGGAAACUGAGGAUAAUACCCCAUAGAUCUAGAGCGCUGGAAUGCCUUUAGGUCGAAAACUCCGGCGCCUUAGGAUUGGUCUGCGGUCUAUCAGGCAGUAGUGGGUGUAAUGGACCCACUAGCCCGUGACGGAUAUGGGCCCUGAGAGAGGGUGCCCAGAGAUGGACUCUGAGACAUGAGUCCAGGCCCUACGGGGCGCAGCAGUCGCGAAAACUUCGCAAUGGGGGAAACCCCGACGAGGGAAUUCCAAGUGCUAGCACUUUGUGUUAGCUGUUCUUCUGUCUAAAAAACAGGAGAAGUAAGGGGCGGGUAAGACGGGUGCCAGCCGCCGCGGUAAUACCCGCGCCCCGAGUGGUGGUCGAUAUUAUUGAGCCUAAAACGUUCGUAGCCGGUCUUCUAAAUCCUUGGGUAAAUCGGGCAGCUUAACUGUCCGAAUUCCGGGGAGACUGGGAGACUUGGGACCGGGAGAGGUCAGAGGUACUUCUGGGGUAGGGGUAAAAUCCUGUAAUCCUGGAAGGACCACCGGUGGCGAAGGCGUCUGACUAGAACGGAUCCGACGGUGAGGAACGAAGCCCUGGGGCGCAAACGGGAUUAGAUACCCCGGUAGUCCAGGGUGUAAACGCUGCGGGCUUGGUGUUGGGGGGUCCUUAGUGGGCGCCCAGUGCCGGAGAGAAAGUUGUUAAGCCUGCUGCUUGGGGAGUAUGUCCGC